rnacentral:rRNA from 17 species
UUGAAGGUGCGGUAACACGCACUGGAGGACCGAACCAUUUAAUGUUGAAAAAUUAUUGGAUGAGUUGUGUUUAGGGGUGAAAGGCCAAUCAAGCCGGGAAAUAGCUGGUUCUCCGCGAAAUCUAUUUAGGUAGAGCGUCGACCGAAUACCCUCGGGGGUAGAGCACUGGAUGGGCUAGGGGUCCUCACCGGAUUACCAAACCUAACCAAACUCCGAAUACCGAGGAGUACUAGUCGGCAGACACACGGCGGGUGCUAACGUCCGUCGUGGAGAGGGAAACAACCCUGACCAACAGCUAAGGUCCCCAAGUCAUGGCUAAGUGGGAAAGGAUGUGAGACUCCCAAAACAACCAGGAUGUUGGCUUAGAAGCAGCCAUCAUUUAAAGAAAGCGUAACAGCUCACUGGUCUAAUUAAGGGGUUUUGCGCCGAAAAUGUAACGGGGCUAAAGCCAUGCACCGAAGCUUUGGGUUCACCGCAAGGUGAGCGGUAGCGGAGCGUUCCGUAGGCCGAUGAAGGAGGAUCCGUGAGGACUUCUGGAGGUAUCGGAAGUGCGAAUGCUGACAUGAGUAGCGAUAAAGAGGGUGAGAGGCCCUCUCGCCGAAAGUCCAAGGGUUCCUGCGCAAUGCUAAUCAGCGCAGGGUAAGCCGGCCCCUAAGGCGAGGCCGAAAGGCGUAGUCGA